AGGCGCGUAGCUCAACGGCAGAGCGCUGCCCCGACGUGGCAGAGGCGGCGGUUCAAUUCCUUCCGCGCCUACCA
rnacentral:tRNA from 1 species